CUACGUGCCAGCAGCCGCGGUAAUACGGAAGGUCCAGGCGUUAUCCGGAUUUAUUGGGUUUAAAGGGAGCGUAGGCUGGAGAUUAAGUGUGUUGUGAAAUGUAGACGCUCAACGUCUGAAUUGCAGCGCAUACUGGUUUCCUUGAGUACGCACAACGUUGGCGGAAUUCGUCGUGUAGCGGUGAAAUGCUUAGAUAUGACGAAGAACUCCGAUUGCGAAGGCAGCUGACGGGAGCGCAACUGACGCUUAAGCUCGAAGGUGCGGGUAUCAAACAGGAUUAGAUACCCUGGUAGUCCGCACAGUAAACGAUGGAUGCCCGCUGUUGGUACCUGGUAUCAGCGGCUAAGCGAAAGCAUUAAGCAUCCCACCUGGGGAGUACGCCGGCAACGGUGAAACUCAAAGGAAUUGGCGGGGGCCCGCACAAGCGGUGGAGCAUGUGGUUUAAUUCGAAGCAACGCGAAGAACCUUACCAGGUCUUGACAUCCCUCUGACCGCUCUAGAGAUAGAGUUUUC
rnacentral:rRNA from 1 species